rnacentral:rRNA from 1 species
GUUACGCGCGGCAGGACGAAAAGACCCCGGGACCUUCACUACAACUUGGUAUUGGUGCUCGAUACGGUUUGUGUAGGAUAGGUGGGAGACUGUGAAACUCACACGCCAGUGUGGGUGGAGUCGUUGUUGAAAUACCACUCUGAUCGUAUUGGGCCUCUAACCUCGAACCGUCUAUCCGGUUCAGGGACAGUGCCUGGCGGGUAGUUUAACUGGGGCGGUUGCCUCCUAAAAAGUAACGGAGGCGCCCAAAGGUUCCCUCAACCUGGACGGCAAUCAGGUGUUGAGUGUAAGUGCACAAGGGAGCUUGACUGCGAGACUGACACGUCAAGCAGGGACGAAAGUCGGGACUAGUGAUCCGGCACCCCCGAGUGGAAGGGGUGUCGCUCAACGGAUAAAAGGUACCCCGGGGAUAACAGGCUGAUCUUCCCCAAGAGUCCAUAUCGACGGGAUGGUUUGGCACCUCGAUGUCGGCUCGUCGCAUCCUGGGGCUGGAGCAGGUCCCAAGGGUUGGGCUGUUCGCCCAUUAAAGCGGCACGCGAGCUGGGUUUAGAACGUCGUGAGACAGUUCGGUCUCUAUCCGCCGCGCGCGUCAGAAGCUUGAGGAAACCUGUCCCUAGU